CAGCAGCCGCGGUAAUACGUAGGUGGCAAGCGUUGUCCGGAAUUAUUGGGCGUAAAGCGAGCGCAGGCGGUUAGAUAAGUCUGAAGUUAAAGGCUGUGGCUUAACCAUAGUACGCUUUGAAAACUGUUUAACUUGAGUGCAAGAGGGGAGAGUGGGAUUCCAUGUGUAGCGGUGAAAUGCGUAGAUAUAUGGAGGAACACCGGUGGCGAAAGAGGCUCUCUGGCUUGUAACUGACGCUGAGGAGCGAAAGCGUGGGGAGCGAACAGGAUUAGAUACCCCGGUAGUCCCUGUCUCUUAUACA
rnacentral:rRNA from 1 species